rnacentral:rRNA from 1 species
UACGUAGGAUGCAAGCGUUGUCCGGAAUUAUUGGGCGUAAAGAGCGCGCAGGCGGUUUGUCAAGUCAGAUGUGAAAUAGCCGGGCUUAACCCGGAGGGGUCAUUUGAAACUGGCAGACUAGAGUGCAGCAGAGGAUAGCGGAAUUCCCGGUGUAGUGGUGAAAUGCGUAGAUAUCGGGAGGAACACCAGUGGCGAAGGCGGCUAUCUGGGCUGCAACUGACGCUGAGGCGCGAAGGCUAGGGGAGCAAACAGG